rnacentral:rRNA from 1 species
AUCUGUGGCCAUAUCACUCUGAAUGUGCCUAAUUGCAUCUGAUCUCAUAAGCUAAGUAGGUUCGAGCCUGGUUAGUACUUGGAUGGGAGGAAGAAACACCUCAUGCCAGAAGUU